CGUGCACCAGUGUGGUCCCUCAGCCUGGCCUGUGCCCUCCUGCAACCCGGGCCCCCUCAGGGGAUGUCAGAGAGCUGGUUUCAGCCCAAUCCUGCAGGCCAGGCUGAGGGACUCCACUGAUGCAUG
rnacentral:pre_miRNA from 1 species